rnacentral:rRNA from 1 species
UAUCUCUGUAGAGUCUGCAUAUCAAUAAGCGGAGGAAAAGAAACUAACAAGGAUUCCCUUAGUAACGGCGAGUGAAGCGGGAAGAGCUCAAAUUUGAAAUCUUCAAGGUUCUACCUUGACGAAUUGUAGUUUAAAGAAGUGUUUUCUGUUAGAUGAGUAGCAAAAGUUCCUUGGAAUAGGGACAUCAUAGAGGGUGAGAAUCCCGUAUUUGGUUAUUCUUCUAGCUGUGUGAUACACUUUCAAAGAGUCGGAUUGUUUGGGAAUGCAGUCCAAAAUGGGUGGUAAAUUUCAUCUAAAGCUAAAUAUUGGCGAGAGACCGAUAGCGAACAAGUACCGUGAGGGAAAGAUGAAAAGAACUUUGAAAAGAGAGUUAAACAGUACGUGAAAUUGUCAAAAGGGAAGCGUUUGACACCAGUGUUGUUUUCUCGAAAAUCAAUUACGAAUGGCUUGAUUCUGUGUUGUAUUGACCUUAUCAAGCUUUCUUCACUUUUUUCCGAGUCUUUCUUAAUGCACUUUUCGGUUAACAAGUCAACAUCAGUUUCUUUUGUUGUAAAAGAGUAUUCGGAAGGUGGCUUUCUUUUCGGAGAAAGUGUUUAUAGCCCUAUACUUCUACAAUCGGAGAGAUUGAGGUCUGCAGCGUAGAUCCUUCGGGGUUAGAUACACUUGUGCUAAGUUGUAGCUUUUCAUAGACAACUUGUUGACUAUGUUUAGUCAUGCGGCUUACUCGCUUAGUGCUAUUUUACCUACGCUUAGGAUGUUGAAGAUGUAGCACAUCAU